rnacentral:lncRNA from 1 species
CCGAAGUCCAUCGACGAUGGUGCUGCUUCAGGGCGAGGAGCGGUCGGUAUGCGAAGUUUCAAGCGUGCGCACCCUCGUCACCUUUGGCGUGAGCAACAAAGAAAGAAAAAAAAAAACACCUGCCGGUCGCCGUGUUGACAGAAGAACGCGAACGGGUCGGCGUAAAGAUAAGGGUCGGUGCCCGUUAUGCGUUUGUCUCGGCGGCGCAAUGGCUUGAAACAUGCGGCCGAGCCCUCUCUGAGCGACCGCCGCGCGUUCGCAGCCUUCGCCCUUCCGCUGGGGGGGGGGGGGGGGGGGGGACACACACGCGACACGAAGGGCGGUGAUAAGUCAGUAGAGCACGCGGUGUCCGCAGAGACACAUGCAGUCGUGGCCCUUUAUUGCCGGCGCCGACUGGUGUAGAACGGCGCGAGAGAACGUCGAUGUUGGAUGGAUCGGUGCGGCCCACUAUGAUGAACAUCUGCGGAUCCCAAGAGCGGCAGAACGAAGACCCCAGCCUUGCCGCCACGGAACGUAGGAUCGUCAUCGCCCGAUGUCGACCGAGUGAAGUGUCGCUCGACGUACUUGACACCGGGUCUCUCGCCUCCAAGAGAGCAAUCCGUGGACAGUGUGUUAACAAUCGCGACUGUCAUGGAGUCGCUCUCUUUAAGGCGGUACCCACAGUCGCCAUUCGACCAUCCCCCGGGACAACACCACGUCAACGAAGCCUGGCUUCAAGUUUCACGAUCUUCCUGCAUUUCUCAAACGCAUGCGCUGGUUUGUAUGGACGUAUUGAGUUGCACUAAAUUCGACUAGCACAUUUGACUAGACUAGACAAUUGCACAAGAAAGGAAUUCCUGCUCUUCAUGCAGUCGUUGCCAUGCGGUCACAGUCGUUUCAUCGUCUUCAUUCCUUGUGUUACACUGUGCGUCUGCCUGGUUGGUGUCUGGGUUUCGGCAUAGGUUGUGAGCGUUCAAGUGUCUAAACAUAAAAUCGCGUUGCAAUAAAGUUGUGACUCUUGUUGCGGAUAAACAUUAAGAAAGCACCGGAUACAUGUUGCACAGGAUGCCUAACACAUUGGUUCGUGGUUGAGUGUCCUCUUCGGCGACGGGAGGUCGUGGGUUUUAAGCCACGCUGUCACCAGUUACCCACAGGUUAUCCAAAUAGGUACAGGCGUUCCCCAGCCUGACGCUCAGCCUUCUUUAGGGAAUAAAUUACCCUGGGAAAAGAUCCGACGUCAUGCAAAUACAUUCGAACCCCGUGGGCCAAAGGAAAACCUGAAAAAGGAGGUCAUGACCGCUGCCAUGGUGACCAUUUUCCAUGUGGCGUGCCCUAAUGCACCUAUUAGGGGGAGGGGGGGGGGCACCCACGUGUUGAGGUGAAGCAUCCCUUUCCAAGCAUUGGGAUCCCAUAAUGGCGGAGCACAUGACCGGGAAGCGCAGUUGUACCCAUUUGAAUCGAUAGGUACCAGCAGCAAUUCAAGUCUACCUCCCACAGCGGCGGCAAUACCCCUCGCACAUAAAUCUCUUUAGGGCCCCCCUUCUGAGAUUCGAGGCCCUGCAAGUAGCUGAGCACCAGGCCGGGGAACGUCUCUACCCACUAGAGAAACUAGUGGUUUAUCGACUGCACGGGGAGUCGAACCCAGUAGCUCCCCCUUACGAGGCUGAUGCUCCAUCACUACACCACCACUGUGGCACUAUCAUACGCAUCGCGUUUAGUUGCGUAGCAUACAAAAUACAUAUAGCUCCUAGCAUAAGCGAAUAAUGAUUUGCUCAAUACAGCCGUAAUGCGGUGAGUUGCAAUAGGAAAGCGCUGGCUGCAUGUGAUGGAAUAAGUGGUCGAUGCCCUAUGGUAUUCACCUGACACAUUCUUGUUUGUAAAUAAAGAAAGGAACGACUCUUUU